UACGUAGGUAGCGAGCGUUGUCCGGAAUAACUGGGCGUAAAGGGAGUGUAGGUGGCAUAUUAAGUCAACUGUGAAAGCCCACGGCUUAACCGUGGAAGUGCAGUUGAUACUGGUAAGCUGGAGUGCAGGAGAGGUAAUGGGAAUUCCUAGUGUAGCGGUAAAAUGCGUAGAGAUUAGGAGGAACACCAGAGGCGAAGGCGCAUUACUGGACUGUAACUGACACUGAGGCUCGAAAGCGUGGGGAGCAAAC
rnacentral:rRNA from 1 species